rnacentral:misc_RNA from 1 species
AAGGAGUGUAUUUAUGUUUAGAAUCAGUAAAAAUGGCUAAACGUGUAGCGGGACGUGAUUUGAAUGACCAGAAUUGGGAUCAGGAAGAGGAAGCAGAGACUGCAGGACAUUUUAAGAAGGCCAAUGAUAAGGAGUUAAUGGGUCGCGUGAUCAAAACGGCCCGAAGGAGAAAUGCUGUCGACGGAGGGGAGAAAAAGAACGUUUUCGCAGGAUUCGGUGGAUUUUCUGCAUCCACUCCGGCUACCACGAACUCGUUCAGUUUUUUAGCUAAACCCGAAGCAACUGAUUUGCCUAAAACUGACGCCAAUGCUGCUGUAUUUGGAUCCGCUAAUAAAAAAGAUUCUGCUUCUCCGUUCUUAUUCGGAUCGGGCAAUGCAGCGGAGCCCACCAAACCAGCCUUCGGUCAGUUUUCAUUUGGUAAAAGCUCGCAUGAGGAGAAACCAUUAAGUUCGACCUUUACAUCGUCGGAGAAGAAGCCAGCUGAGCCGAAGAAUGAUUUAUUGGACAUGUUUAAAGCUAAGUCCGGUUCCUGGUCUUGUGAUGUUUGUAUGAUCUCGAACCCUGCAGAUAAGAUUAAAUGUGCUGCUUGCGAAACUCCAAAACCUGGAGCAAAGCAGCCAGAAUCAAACAGCUCCAAAUCUAGUUUUGGUGACUCCGGAGGGUUUAAGUUUGGAAGCGGACAUUCAGAAUCUAGCCCGGCCGUUUUUGGAACAAAGUCUGGAGAAACCGGAGGAACUGGAUUCGGAACAUCUUUCGGUUCAAGCGCAUCCUCUGAUGCACCAUCAUCUGGAUUUAAGUUUGGAUCUUCCGCUGUGAAGGAUAGUGAGAAGGAAAGUCCCAAGCCAGCUGGAGGGUUUAGUUUUGGAAGCGCCGAGAAAAGCAAGGACACAUCUUCGUCAGGUUUUGUUUUUGGUGCUCCGGCCACUGAAAAAUCAACAAGUUCCGUGUUUGCUUUCGGAUCAAAUUCUAAUCCUAAACCUGCUGACGCUCCCGCUUUUGGAGCGAACGAAUCAUCUGCCAAAUCCUCGUCAUUUUCGUUCGGAAGUGGUUCUUCUACCCCGAGCUCUGAAAAAGUUAGCAAACCUGUUGGGUUUGCUUUUAUGUCUAAUUGUAAGGAUACUACAGAACCCAAGUCCUCUAAAGCUGAGUUUAGUUUUGGAUCAAAGUCUUCAGAAAGUGGCGCCACCGUCAAUUUAAACGGAAAAUCGUCCGAAUUUGGAGAAAGUGUCUCUUCAACCCCUAUUUUAGGGUCUGCAAAAUCGACUGAAAGCUCGUUUGGAAAUUCAAGUUCAAAGGACGGUGUAGAAAGUAAUGAAUAUAAUGAAGAUUAUUUGGCUCAUUUGAAAGCUUUGAAUCUUCAAGUUACGGAAUGGAUUAAGCGCCAUGUUGAAGAAAAUCCAUUAGUUCUUCUGUCUCCGGUGUUUCUAGAUUAUGAAAAACAUCUUAAGGUAAUCUCUGAAAAAUAUCAAACAAAAACUCCUGCCAAGGAAAAAUCCUCGGGUACAACCAGUUUUCAAAUUUCCCCGAGUGUUAAAAGUCCAGUGAAACCUUCAGAGUCCAUUAAACCAUUCUCGUUCGCAGCGAAUUCAGAAAACAAAACAGAACCAGCCAAAUUUGCUUUCGGUUCAGGAGCAGUAACUAAACAGGGACACGCUUCAUCUGGAUUUUCAUUUGGUUUGGCCUCGAAACCUGCUGGGGAAGGGUUUUCAUUCGGUUCUGGUGGCGGCGGAGGAUUUGCGACCCCUGCCCCAUCCCAGCCGGUUUCCGCCACUCAGGAGGAGGAAGAUGUGGAUUCUCCGCCGGUUGUAGAAGUAAAACAGGUUGUUGAGGACGAUGCACUGUAUUCUCGUAAAUGUAAACUGUUCUACAAGAAAGGUGAUGAGUAUAUGGAUAAAGGAGUUGGGAUGCUUCAUCUCAAAUCUGCAGAUAAUGGUAAAACUCAGCUGUUGGUGAGAGCAGAUACUAACCUGGGGAAUAUUCUUCUCAAUAUUCUUCUCAACCCAGAUAUCCCAACUACUAGGGUUGGUAAGAACAACGUGAUGUUGGUGUGUGUACCAAAUCCUCCCAUUGACACUAAGAAUCCAUCAAGUGUUCCAGUCCCCAUGCUCAUCAGGGUGAAGACUGGAGAUGAUGCUGAUGAUCUGAAGUCUAAAAUUGAUGAGUUGAAAGGGAAGAAGCAUAGUUGAACGGAGCUAGGGGGCACCGAGAUAGUUGUGUUAUAUGAAUUGUUAACCUGACAUACAGAAGGAUCCUCAACACAAUUAUUUGACAAUAUUUUGUACAAAUUACAAAACAUUAAAACAGUUAUUUGAUUCAAGAAUUUAUUUUUCAUGUUUGAGUUUGUUGAUUAUAUUCGUGGCUUAUU